rnacentral:rRNA from 1 species
CCCUUAGAUGUUCUGGGCUGCACACGUGCUACACUGGCAGGUUCAGCGAGCUUCAUGCCCUGAUCUGAAAGGAAUGGGAAAUCUUUUCAAAACCUGCCGUGCUUGGGAUAGAUGUUUGCAAUUAUUCAUCUUCAACGAGGAUUGCCUUGUAAGCGCACGUCAUCAGCGUGCAUUGAAUACGACCCUGUAUUCUGUACACACCACCCGUCGCUCCUACCGAUUGAAGUUUUCGGUGAGUUGACAGGAGGAUUUUUUUGAAACUGGUUCGCCAGUGGAUUUUAGAUCCAAAUGCCAACGAAUCGAUGGCUUUAGAGGAAGGAGAAGUCGUAACA